UCGAAAUUCAACUGUAAAGCUGGCCACAAACAGGGUACAAUUCCCAGCGAUUUGUUGCAGUUAGAAAAAAACAAUCGUGUAUGGCGAAGUGCGGGCAAAAAUUCCAAGUAAUUGAAAAUUAUCAUUUACCUGAGAUUUGUUGCUAGUUUGUGGAUUUUCUCACAUUCUUCUGUUUUUUUACUGACCGUCGUCGAGAUAAGAUAUGACGAUCGCAACAAAAUGAUGGUUCAUGAAUUUGUGUACAGUAUAGGUGCUACGGACUAGACACAAAUCGCUGGGAAUUAUGUCCUGUUUGUGGCCGGCUUAAGAGAGUUGGUUUAGAGACGACUGCCAAUUCUACCUACUUACCUACCUUCUAGAUUCCGUCAAAAUUCAACUGUAAUGGACUGUUACACGAGUAUACUCAAUAUCAAGAAUGAUAGAAUACAAGAUGUCGCCUUGCGAACUCCUUGUGGCGCCAGUUCUGCAGAUAAACAAACAAAAGGACGAACAAUUAGUUUUUUGGGGAAGCGGAAGAGUUAGUAAAAUCAAUGGAAACUGCCAAAUACAAUUAAUUAUUUUAUAUACACACAUACACACUUUCUUGUAGCGGCGUUGUCCGUAAAGAACGCGAAAAUACUGUAUUUGGUCUUUUGUUAGAAUUUGUGUUUUCACAAU